GGUAAAGCCAAGUAAAUAAAGCCAAGGCUGGCAAAUGUGUCUUUUAUUUAGCACAUAAAAGCCGCCAGGAAUGUCCGUUUGUGUUCAGAAGCCAUUACGGAGACACUAGAAUGUUCAGCAAACUGCCUACUUAAUCAUUUUCACAACCCAGGGACCCCCCCAAAAAAAAGAUUGACGUCGAUCGUGCCGUACGUGUAAUGAUGUAAAAAUGCAUUAAGGUCGGUGUUUUUGACACUAAUGGAAAUCAGAGACACACAACGCUAAGGUUUCGCAGUCUGGGAGCCAAGAUUGCUGCCAUUGUCAUUAGCUCUGACAAUAAACGACCAAACACUGGUUGAAAGCCUGAUACCAGUAUCCGUUGCCAGAGAUUAAUCUCGCAGCAUAAAAGAAGAUAAAACGAGAGCAAUAAUAAAUUAAUUUAUAGCAAUAAUAGCGUUAUAUAACUGGCUAUUGUAUGACAAAAUAUAAUUAUUUCAGUUAUUUUCCUUGA